rnacentral:rRNA from 3 species
GACACGACUCUCGGCAAUGGAUAUCUCGGCUCUUGCAUCGAUGAAGAGCGCAGCGAAAUGCGAUACGUGGUGCGAAUUGCAGAAUCCCGUGAACCAUCGAGUCUUUGAACGCAAGUUGCGCCCGAGGCCAUUCGGCCAAGGGCACGUUCGCCUGGGCGUCAAGC